GACGAACGCUGGCGGCGUGCUUAACACAUGCAAGUCGAACGGAAAGGCCCUGCUUUUGUGGGGUGCUCGAGUGGCGAACGGGUGAGUAACACGUGAGUAACCUGCCCUUGACUUUGGGAUAACUUCAGGAAACUGGGGCUAAUACCGGAUAGGAGCUCCUGCUGCAUGGUGGGGGUUGGAAAGUUUCGGCGGUUGGGGAUGGACUCGCGGCUUAUCAGCUUGUUGGUGGGGUAGUGGCUUACCAAGGCUUUGACGGGUAGCCGGCCUGAGAGGGUGACCGGCAACAUUGGGACUGAGAUACGGCCCAGACUCCUACGGGAGGAAGCAGUGGGGAAUAUUGCACAAUGGGCGGAAGCAUGAUGAAGCAACGCCGCGUGCGGGAUGACGGCCUUCGGGUUGUAAACCGCUUUCGCCUGUGACGAAGCGUGAGUGACGGUAAUGGGUAAAGAAGCACCGGAUAACUACGU
rnacentral:rRNA from 1 species